GAUGAACGCUGGCGGCGUGCUUAACACAUGCAAGUCGAACGGUGAACACGGAGCUUGCUCUGUGGGAUCAGUGGCGAACGGGUGAGUAACACGUGAGCAACCUGCCCCUGACUCUGGGAUAAGCGCUGGAAACGGCGUCUAAUACUGGAUAUGUGACGUGACCGCAUGGUCUGCGUUUGGAAAGAUUUUUCGGUUGGGGAUGGGCUCGCGGCCUAUCAGCUUGUUGGUGAGGUAAUGGCUCACCAAGGCGUCGACGGGUAGCCGGCCUGAGAGGGUGACCGGCCACACUGGGAUUGAGACACGGCCCAGACUCCUACGGGAGGCAGCGGUGGGGAAUAUUGCACAAUGGGCGAAAGCCUGAUGCAGCAACGCCGCGUGAGGGAUGACGGCCUUCGGGUUGUAAACCUUUUUUAGCAGGGAAGAAGCGAAAGUGACGGUACCUGCAGAAAAAGCGCCGGCUAACUACGUG
rnacentral:rRNA from 1 species